rnacentral:lncRNA from 1 species
AAACUCACUUGGCCAGAGACGGUCAACAGCAAACAUGCUGAGCUGCUUCUCCACUUUGAGAGGCCGCAGCCUCAGGGCCUCAGGCAGAGAAAGUAUCUGUGAAAGAUUAAGAAGAUGGCUGACUCCAUCCAGACACUGCAGGCCAUGCUGCAGCAGCCACAUGAUUGCCACAGUCACCCCAGUGAAGGUCUCCCCGAGAGUGACCACCAGUGACCUACCAAAAUCAAGGUGAGCCUAGGGGACAGCAAGGUUCACAGAUGAGCAGCAGAAAGAAGAAAACAGAAGAGAAGAUCCUGAUCCAGCACCACUGGUUGAGUGCCCAUAUUCUGGGUCCUAUCCUUUGGAUUUGAGUUCUGGCUUCCUCAGACUGCAGGAACAACUUUGGGCAAAAAUCUUCACCUAUUUGAGCCUCA